AACUUUCAACAACGGAUCUCUUGGUUCUCGCAUCGAUGAAGAACGCAGCGAAAUGCGAUAAGUAAUAUGAAUUGCAGAUUUUCGUGAAUCAUCGAAUCUUUGAACGCACAUUGCGUCCUUUGGUAUUCCAAAGGGCAUGCCUGUUUGAGCGUCAUUUCUC
rnacentral:rRNA from 1 species